CACAUGCAGCGGCAGGUAAAAUGUCUGCCCCUAAAAGCAGUAAACGGGGUCACAGCAGUGAUUACUGAGGCCGGUGGGGGGAGGGGGAACCUUUGUGGACCCCCCACUGUGGCCUUUAGGAAGCCCCCCGAAGGGGCUAGAGGUUGCCACCUUUUUACUGACCUUGCUCCUCUGCCUACUGACCCACAGAAAUUGCCGGACAAUAUAGGGGUUGUCUAUCCUUCAAAACUCAGGAUGUGAACAGGAUGAAUGGGAUGACACAAGAAGCUUCCCUAUGAGACUGGAAGAAUCAUCUGGCUGCACCAAACAAGUCUGAGCAGUUAUGGAGUUUUCAUCCAAUGAGUGAGGCUUUGGCAUGGUUCCUUAAUGCUGACACUACCUUCAGGUGCUUCAGAAAUUGAAUCCGUGUUCAGCAUGAUGCCUCAAAGGUUGUUACAGCAGCAACAAUAACAUCCAGACAAAUGCACAGAAUGUCAAGAUAAUUUUCAUCUGUUGUUACUGGGGGAAUUGACAAAGAAGAUUGGCACUAGACAGCUUUUGCUCUCAGGAGGGUUGUUUGGACUGGUAUGUAAUACAGUUGAGAACAAUAAAA